AGAGAAUCAAGGGAGAGUAAAACGGAUUCAGCCAGAAGCCACCAUUUGUUGGAGUGAGUAGAAGAUAUGGUAGAAGCAAGAAUGAUGGAA